UUUUAGGGUUUUGAUUUGAAGGUUUAGGGUUUAGGGUUUAGAGUUUAGAGUUGAUGUUUCGGGGUUUAGGGUUUAGAGUUGUUGUUUCAUGAUUUAGGGUUUAGAGUUGAUGAUUUAUGUUUAAAGUUGAUGUUUUAAGUUUAAAUUUAGGGUUUAAGUUUACGUUUAGGGUUUAGAGUUGAUGUUUUAGGAUUUAGAUUUGAAGUUUUAGGGUUUAAGGUUUAGAGUUGAUGUUUCGGGGUUUAGGGUUUAGAGUUGAUGUUUCAUGGUUUAAGGUUUAGAGUUGAUGAUUAAGAAUUUAGAGUUGAUGUUUUAAGUUUAAAUUAGUUAACCAUAUGUUUUUUUUUGUCAAAGGUAAUUAAAAGGUUAUAAAUGUCUUUUACCCUUCAUUAAAGAUGA
rnacentral:lncRNA from 1 species